CCUACGGGUGGCUGCAGUGGGGAAUAUUGGACAAUGGGGGGAACCCUGAUCCAGCCAUGCCGCGUGUGUGAAGAAGGCCCUCGGGUUGUAAAGCACUUUCAGUGAGGAAGAACGCCUGGUGGUUAAUACCCAUCAGGAAAGACAUCACUCACAGAAGAAGCACCGGCUAACUCCGUGCCAGCAGCCGCGGUAAUACGGAGGGUGCGAGCGUUAAUCGGAAUUACUGGGCGUAAAGCGCGCGUAGGUGGCUUGAUAAGCCGGUUGUGAAAGCCCCGGGCUCAACCUGGGAACGGCAUCCGGAACUGUCAAGCUAGAGUGCAGGAGAGGAAGGUAGAAUUCCCGGUGUAGCGGUGAAAUGCGUAGAGAUCGGGAGGAAUACCAGUGGCGAAGGCGGCCUUCUGGACUGACACUGACACUGAGGUGCGAAAGCGUGGGUAGCAAACAGGAUUAGAUACUCCAGUAGUC
rnacentral:rRNA from 1 species